rfam:Myotis lucifugus cont2.51723, whole genome shotgun sequence.
GGCGGUUCUCGGGUGAUGCACCCUUGGAAUCGGGCUCCCUCCUCUCUGGUUCUGGGUGCGUCACCCCAGAACCGAA